rnacentral:rRNA from 1 species
CCUACGGGUGGCAGCAGUGAGGAAUAUUGGUCAAUGGACGCAAGUCUGAACCAGCCAUGCCGCGUGCAGGAAGACGGCUCUAUGAGUUGUAAACUGCUUUUGUACGAGAGUAAACGCAGGUACGCGUAUCUGUCUGAAAGUAUCGUACGCAUAAGGGUCGGCUAACUCCGUGCCAGCAGCCGCGGUAAUACGGAGGAUGCAAGCGUUAUCCGGAUUUAUUGGGUUUAAAGGGUGCGUAGGCGGUCGGAUAAGUUAGAGGUGAAAUCCCGAGGCUCAACUUUGGAAUUGCCUUUGAUACUGUGCGGCUAGAGAGUAGGUGAGGUAGGCGGAAUGUAUGGUGUAGCGGUGAAAUGCUUAGAGAUCAGACAGAACACCGAUUGCGAAGGCAGCUUACCAAGCUACUUCUGACGUUGAGGCACGAAAGCGUGGGGAGCAAACAGGAUUAGAUACCCUAGUAGUC